UUACGGGAGGCAGCAGUAGGGGAUAUUGGGGAAUGGGCGCAAGCCUGACCCAGCAACGCCGCGUGUGCGAUGAAGGCCUUCGGGUUGUAAAGCACUUUUUGCCGGGAAGAGGAAGGACGGUACCGGUAGAAGAAGCCUCGGCUAACUACGUGCCAGCAGCCGCGGUAAAACGUAGGAGGCGAGCGUUAUCCGGAUUUACUGGGUGUAAAGCGCGUGCAGGCGGUCGGGUAAGUUGGGUGUGAAAGCUCCCGGCUCAACUGGGAGAGGUCGCUCAAGACUGCCGGACUGGAGCGUGGUAGGGGAAGGCGGAAUUCCAGGUGUAGUGGUGAAAUGCGUAGAUAUCUGGAGGAACACCAGUGGCGAAAGCGGCCUUCUGGACCACGACUGACGCUCAGACGCGAAAGCUAGGGGAGCAAACGGGAUUAGAUACCCCGGUAGC
rnacentral:rRNA from 1 species